AUUGAACGCUGGCGGCAUGCUUUACACAUGCAAGUCGAACGGUAACAGGUUACGCUGACGAGUGGCUCACGGGUGAGUCAUGUAUCUGAACGUGCACUGUCGUGGGGGAUAACUGCUCGAAAGUGCAGCUAAUACCGCAUACGACCUGAGGGUGACACCGGCGGAUUGCAAGACCUCGCGCGAUUGCAGCGGCCGAUAUUAGAUUCGGUGGUUGGUGAGGUAAUGGUUCAGUAAGCCGACGAUCGGUAGUUGGUCUGAGAGGACGCCCAGCCACACUGGGGCGGGAACACGGCCCAUGCUCCUGCGGGAGGCAGCAGUGGGGAAUGGGAGACAGUGGGCGCAAGCCUGAUCCAGCCGGGCCACGUGCGAUGAGAAAGCGUUCGGGUUGUAAUCCGCUUUUGUCAGGUAAGAAAAGGUUCUGGCUGAGACCAAGGACGCGUGACGGUACCUGAAGAAUAAGCACCGGCUAACUACGUG
rnacentral:rRNA from 1 species